AGUGAACGCUGGCGGUAGGCCUAACACAUGCAAGUCGAACGGCAGCACAGAGGAGCUUGCUCCUUGGGUGGCGAGUGAUGGACGGGUGAGGAAUACAUCGGAAUCUACUCUGUCGUGGGGGAUAACGUAGGGAAACUUACGCUAAUACCGCAUACGACCUACGGGUGAAAGCAGGGGAUCUUCGGACCUUGCGCGAUUGAAUGAGCCGAUGUCGGAUUAGCUAGUUGGCGGGGUAAAGGCCCACCAAGGCGACGAUCCGUAGCUGGUCUGAGAGGAGGAUCAGCCACACUGGAACUGAGACACGGUCCAGACUCCUACGGGAGGCAGCAGUGGGGAAUAUUGGACAAUGGGCGCAAGCAUGGUUCAGCCCUACCGCGUGGGUGAAGAAGGCCUUCGAGUUGUAAAGCCCUUUUGUUGGGAAAGAAAUCCAUCUGGUUAAUACCCGGGUGGGAUGACGGUACCCAAAGAAUAAGCACCGGCUAACUUCGUGCCAGCCGCCGCCGUAA
rnacentral:rRNA from 1 species